GCAACGAGCGCAACCCCUGCAUUCAGUUGCCAUCGGGUAAAUGCCGGGCACUCUGGAAGGACUGCCAUCGACAAGAUGGAGGAAGGUGGGGAUGACGUCAAGUCAUCAUGGCCCUUAUGUCCAGGCGACACACGUGCUACAAUGGCCGGCACAACGGGAAGCGAGUUCGCGAGGACGAGCGGAUCCCUUAAAGCCGGUCGCAGUUCGGAUUGAAGUCUGCAACUCGACUUCAUGAAGCUGGAAUCGCUAGUAAUCGUGGAUCAGCCAAGCCGCGGUGAAUACGUUCCCGGGCCUU
rnacentral:rRNA from 1 species